ensembl:snRNA
GUGUUGUGUGAAAGGAGAAAAGAUUAACUCUCCUCUUCAUAAAGAUGGAAGAGGUCCUAGUGACCUUUACAGUACAUAUAAUUAAAGUAUUUCCACUUACUCUGUGGCAUCCCAUCAUGUUUGGUU